rnacentral:sRNA from 1 species
GUUUAGCCCCGAUUGAAGCGGCAUCCCCCCGAUUUUUCAUCGGGGAUAUAGUGGAAAGCAGGAACAAAC